rnacentral:tRNA from 1 species
GGAUGAAUGGCUGAGUGGUUGAAAGCAUCAAUUUUGAAAAUUGACAUAAAUUUUAUCGUGGGUUCGAAUCCUACUUCAUCCA